CAGGUGCAAGGCGACGAUGGAGGUGCAGACAUCGGGCAGAGACGGGCCACGCAGGGAGCCUCGAGGGCCAGCCAGCGUUGGCCUGAGCAAACCAAGUGUUGAGUUCCUUGUGGCUGAACACAGUCUGAUUGAUAAAGUGCUUCGUUAUGCAUGAUCUCAGAUUGAGGCCUGGACUUGGCUGUACCCAUGUUAACACCAGGAAGAAAACCAGAGAGAGAAAAAAUCAGCACACAGAAUCACAGAGCUGGGUGAAACGCAGAGGGAAAGAGCUGGAGCCCGAUCGAACCGAGCCUGAAGCUCAUCUAUCAUUAAACUUUUGUUUAUG